rnacentral:rRNA from 1 species
GAUGAACGCUAGCGGCAGGCUUAAUACAUGCAAGUCGAGGGGCAGCAUGAUUGUAGCAAUACAAUUGAUGGCGACCGGCAAACGGGUGCGGAACACGUACACAACCUUCCAAUAAGUGGGGAAUAGCCCAGAGAAAUUUGGAUUAAUACCCCGUAACAUAACGAUGUGGCAUCACAUUGUUAUUAUAGAUUUUUCGCUUAUUGAUGGGUGUGCGGCUGAUUAGAUAGUUGGCGGGGUAACGGCCCACCAAGUCUACGAUCAGUAGCUGAUGUGAGAGCAUGAUCAGCCACACGGGCACUGAGACACGGGCCCGACUCCUACGGGAGGCAGCAGUAAGGAAUAUUGGACGAUGGACGCAAGUCUGAUCCAGCCAUGCCGCGUGAAGGAUUAAGGUCCUCUGGAUUGUAAACUUCUUUUAUAAGGGACGAAAAAAGGCUUUUCUAAGUCGUCUGACGGUACCUUAUGAAUAAGCACCGGCUAACUCCGUGCCAGCAGCCGCCGCGGUAA